rnacentral:rRNA from 1 species
CAGGGCGGCGGCUACACAUGCAAGUCGAGCGAGCUCUUCGGAGCUAGCGGCGGACGGGUUAGUAACGCGUGGGAACGUGCCCUUCACUGCGGAAUAGCCACUGGAAACGGUGAGUAAUACCGCAUACGCCCUUCGGGGGAAAGAUUUAUCGGUGAAGGAUCGGCCCGCGUUAGAUUAGAUAGUUGGUGGGGUAACGGCCUACCAAGUCUACGAUCUAUAGCUGGUUUUAGAGGAUGAUCAGCAACACUGGGACUGAGACACGGCCCAGACUCCUACGGGAGGCAGCAGUGGGGAAUCUUGGACAAUGGGCGCAAGCCUGAUCCAGCCAUGCCGCGUGAGUGAUGAAGGCCUUAGGGUCGUAAAGCUCUUUCGCCAGAGAUGAUAAUGACAGUAUCUGGUAAAGAAACCCCGGCUAACUCCGUGCCAGCAGCCGCGGUAAUACGGAGGGGGUUAGCGUUGUUCGGAAUUACUGGGCGUAAAGCGCACGUAGGCGGAUCAGAAAGUUGGGGGUGAAAUCCCGGGGCUCAACCCCGGAACUGCCUCCAAAACUCCUGGUCUUGAGUUCGAGAGAGGUGAGUGGAAUUCCGAGUGUAGAGGUGAAAUUCGUAGAUAUUCGGAGGAACACCAGUGGCGAAGGCGGCUCACUGGCUCGAUACUGAC